AUGAUAUUGCAGAAUAUAUAUCAGAUACAUUGUAGAAUAUGCUCCAACUCCAAUUCUGCCAAGUCUGCGAUCGAUCAAUCGUCUUAUUGCCUUCAACGCUUAUCUGAUGUAAGAAGGUUCCAUCUCCUUACUCAAGGCAGAGGUGCUAACUACCCUGAAGAUCCAAAGCCUAGCUCCACACUACGCUACCACUCCCUCAAAGACUUUUCUGUCAUAGUCUACAAACUCAUCACCAGUGUGUUGAUAUUUUCAUGUGUUUCAAAUUAAAAAAAAAAAACCCGCUUUGCUACCAUUCCACUUAUAUUCACAGCUAAGAUGUUUAAAAUAAUAGUAUCUAUCACUGCACCUAGCUUACCACCAAUUAAUGCCUGAAACACAUUGCAGUAUGAUUUGUGAUACUACUAGUCCAAAAGAAUAUUAUUGUACAAACUGGAUAAAAUUCCUUCUUUAAUUACGAACUUCAACUUGCUUAUCUAUGAAAAUGGAUAAUUCAUAGUUUUAUGGUUACAAAAUGAGAUCUAUUAUGCGUAAUUCAAUUAAAAGAGUGCUGGUAAUCCAGCAGAUCCUCAGUAAAUAACAUCUGCAAUUACUACAAGAUUUCACUUAUGUAGUUCUUACAGCUUGAUCCUUCAACAACCAAUUCCCAACAAUGCUAUGUCCUUAAGAGUUUCAGAAUGGAGUAAAGAUGAUCAGGUUUUUGAAAGAAGCUGGUUGAUCAGGCAAUCAUGGACAAAGAUGAAGUGGACAGAGAAACAAGAGUCUGGUUUUAAAAAAAAAUCUAUUCUUGUGGAACAGUGGUCUUUCUACUUUUUACUUGUUGAACAUUAUGGUUAGUGGUGCAUUAAGCCUGUGAGUUAAAGUAAAUUGAAAUUAUGUGUUGUACAGGAGUCACUGUGCACUUACUCCUCAUGUAGGAUCUCUGUCCUUAAUGUGCUGUACAUUGAGAUUUAAUGCUAUAACGAGUACUCAAACAGUAUAUUUCACUUUGUGUUUCUAUGGGGGUGCAAACUGUUGAAAUCUUUACUUAAUGUAUACUAAACUGAUCUUCUGUAAAAAAAAAAAAAAAAGAAAUUAUCAAUUCCCAACUUGACUCUCACUGGGAUUAAACAUGACAAUAGGUCUGAUCUGAUUUCAUCAUCAUUUAAAAAAUCAUCUAUUAUUUUUCACUUUAUGUUUCUGUGUGGGAGCAAACUGUUGAAAUCUUUACUUAAUGUAUACUAAACUGAUCUUCUGUAUAUUAAGAGAAUCGAAAAUGAAUCUUGAUGUGAAUGGAAGGGGAGAGGGAGUGGGAAAGGGGAGGGUUGCGGGUGGGAGGGACGGUAUGGGGGGGAAGCCAUUGUAAUCCAUAAACCGUACUUUGGAAAUUUAUAUUCAUUAAAUAAAAGUUAAAAAAAAAUAAAUUAUGUGUUGUAA
ensembl:lncRNA